GAUGAACGCUGGCGGCGUGCCUAAUACAUGCAAGUCGAACGAACAGACGAGGAUCUUGCUCCUCUCACGUUAGCGGCAGACGGGUGAAUAACACGUGGAUAACCUACCUAUAAUACUGAGAUAACUUCGGAAAACCGGAUCUAAUACCGUAUAAUAUAUUGAACCGCAUUGUUCAAUAGUGAGAUACGGUUUUGCUGUCACUUAUAGAUGGAUCCGCGCCGCAUUAGAUAGUUGUUAAGUUAACGGCUUACCAAGGCAACGAUGCGUAGACGACCUGAGAGGGUGAUCGCCCACCUUGGAAGUGAGACACGGUCAAGACGCCUAAGGGAGGCAGCAGUAGGGAAUGUUCCGCAAUGGGCGAAAGCAUGACGGAGUAACGCCGCGUGAGUGAUGACGGUCUUCCGAUCGUAAAACUGUGUUAUUAGGGAAGAACAAAUGUGUCAGUAACUAUGCACGUCUUGACGGUAAUUAAUCAGAAAGCAACGGCUAACUACGUG
rnacentral:rRNA from 1 species